UACGGGGGGGGCAAGCGUUGUUCGGAAUUACUGGGCGUAAAGGGCUCGUAGGCGGCCAACUAAGUCAGACGUGAAAUCCCUCGGCUUAACCGGGGAACUGCGUCUGAUACUGGACGGCUAGAGUUUGGGAGAGGGAUGCAGAAUUCCAGGUGUAGCGGUGAAAUGCGUAGAUAUCUGGAGGAAUACCGGUGGCGAAGGCGGCAUCCUGGACCAACACUGACACUGAAUCGCGAAAGCUAGGGGAGCAAACGGG
rnacentral:rRNA from 1 species